GCGCACGCCGGCGUUGUUGCAUUUGACACCCCGAGCCACACGAACCCGAUGCUGGAGCUGGGCCGCCGCCUGACGCGCCACGGCCUCCGCCCCACGUUCGUCUCCACCCAUCACGUGCUCUCCUCCACCCCACCCCCCGGCGCGCCCUUCCGCGUGGCCGCCAUCUCCGACGGAUUCGACGCCGGUGGCUUCGCCUCGUGCCCGGACCCCGCCGAGUACUUCUCCCGGUUGGAGGCCGCGGGGUCCGAGACGCUGCGCGACGUCCUGCUGUCGGAGGAGACAGCCGCGGUGCGCGUGCUGGUGUACGACUCGCACCUGCCGUGGGCGGGGCGGGUGGCGCGGGCCGCCGGAGUGCCUGCCACGGCGUUCUUCUCAUAGCUGUGCGCGGUGAACGUCGUCUACGGGGAGGUGUGGGCGGGGCGGCUGGCGCUGCCGGUGACGGACGGGCGUGAGCUUCUGGCACGCGGAGCGCUGGGCGUGGAGCUGGGGCCGGAGGACGUGCCGCCGUCCCCGGUCCAACGCAUAGCCGCGGCCCUACUGCCACGUACGGCCACGAGAAGCAGCGGUGGCAGCGGCGGCCGCACGGGCACGCGGUGGCUGAUUGCCUCUAGGUGGGUGACAUAG
rnacentral:rRNA from 1 species